CCGCCCAUAGCUCAGUUGGUAGAGCGGCGGCCUUUUAAGCCGACGGUCCCAGGUUCGAGUCCUGGUGGGCGGA
rnacentral:tRNA from 1 species